GCCCUGGUGGUGCAACGGUUAAGCACUUGGCUGCUAACUAAAAGGUCGGUAGUUUGAACCCAUCCAGGGGCU
rnacentral:tRNA from 1 species